rnacentral:sRNA from 1 species
UUCCUCUGCCUCUAGUGAUUUCCUAAAUAAAAACCAAGAGCUGUUGCAAGAUUUGUCAGAAGUGAAUGACGAAAACACUCAGUUGAUGGAAAUACUGAAUACUUUGUUUUUCUUGCCAAUCAGACGACUUCAUAAUUACGCAAAAGUUUUGCUAAAGCUUGCUACUUGUUUUGAAGUGGCAUCUCCAGAAUAUCAGAAACUGCAGGAUUCCAGUUCUUGUUAUGAGUGUCUUGCUCUCCAUCUCGGCAGGAAAAGGAAGGAAGCAGAAUACACACUGGGCUUCUGGAAGACCUUCCCCGGAAAAAUGACGGAUUCCUUGAGGAAGCCAGAGCGUCGACUGCUGUGUGAGAGUAGUAACCGAGCCCUGUCUCUGCAGCAUGCUGGGAGGUUUUCCGUGAAUUGGUUCAUUCUCUUUAAUGAUGCCCUGGUCCAUGCCCAGGAAUGGCUUAAAGAUAACUACACCUGAGGAGCAGUUCACUCUCAUUUCAUCUACACCCCAGGAAAAGACAAAGUGGCUACGAGCUAUAAGCCAAGCCG